rnacentral:rRNA from 1 species
AGAGUUUGGAAUCCUGGCUCAGGAUGAACGCUGGCGGCGUGCCUAAUACAUGCAAGUCGAGCGAACGGACGAGAAGCUUGCUUCUCUGAUGUUAGCGGCGGACGGGUGAGUAACACGUGGAUAACCUACCUAUAAGACUGGGAUAACUUCGGGAAACCGGAGCUAAUACCGGAUAAUAUUUUGAACCGCAUGGUUCAAAAGUGAAAGACGGUCUUGCUGUCACUUAUAGAUGGAUCCGCGCUGCAUUAGCUAGUUGGUAAGGUAACGGCUUACCAAGGCAACGAUGCAUAGCCGACCUGAGAGGGUGAUCGGCCACACUGGAACUGAGACACGGUCCAGACUCCUACGGGAGGCAGCAGUAGGGAAUCUUCCGCAAUGGGCGAAAGCCUGACGGAGCAACGCCGCGUGAGUGAUGAAGGUCUUCGGAUCGUAAAACUCUGUUAUUAGGGAAGAACAUAUGUGUAAGUAACUGUGCACAUCUUGACGGUACCUAAUCAGAAAGCCACGGCUAACUACGUGCCAGCAGCCGCGGUAAUACGUAGGUGGCAAGCGUUAUCCGGAAUUAUUGGGCGUAAAGCGCGCGUAGGCGGUUUUUUAAGUCUGAUGUGAAAGCCCACGGCUCAACCGUGGAGGGUCAUUGGAAACUGGAAAACUUGAGUGCAGAAGAGGAAAGUGGAAUUCCAUGUGUAGCGGUGAAAUGCGCAGAGAUAUGGAGGAACACCAGUGGCGAAGGCGACUUUCUGGUCUGUAACUGACGCUGAUGUGCGAAAGCGUGGGGAUCAAACAGGAUUAGAUACCCUGGUAGUCCACGCCGUAAACGAUGAGUGCUAAGUGUUAGGGGGUUUCCGCCCCUUAGUGCUGCAGCUAACGCAUUAAGCACUCCGCCUGGGGAGUACGACCGCAAGGUUGAAACUCAAAGGAAUUGACGGGGACCCGCACAAGCGGUGGAGCAUGUGGUUUAAUUCGAAGCAACGCGAAGAACCUUACCAAAUCUUGACAUCCUUUGACAACUCUAGAGAUAGAGCUUUCCCCUUCGGGGGACAAAGUGACAGGUGGUGCAUGGUUGUCGUCAGCUCGUGUCGUGAGAUGUUGGGUUAAGUCCCGCAACGAGCGCAACCCUUAAGCUUAGUUGCCAUCAUUAAGUUGGGCACUCUAAGUUGACUGCCGGUGACAAACCGGAGGAAGGUGGGGAUGACGUCAAAUCAUCAUGCCCCUUAUGAUUUGGGCUACACACGUGCUACAAUGGACAAUACAAAGGGCAGCGAAACCGCGAGGUCAAGCAAAUCCCAUAAAGUUGUUCUCAGUUCGGAUUGUAGUCUGCAACUCGACUACAUGAAGCUGGAAUCGCUAGUAAUCGUAGAUCAGCAUGCUACGGUGAAUACGUUCCCGGGUCUUGUACACACCGCCCGUCACACCACGAGAGUUUGUAACACCCGAAGCCGGUGGAGUAACCUUUUAGGAGCUAGCCGUCGAAGUGGGACAAAUGAUUGGGGUGAAGUCGUAACAAGGUAGCCGUAC